ACGGAGUCCCAGGGCGGAGUACCCCUUAUGCCCUGCAGUCCGAACAAUCGAUUCCGACUCAUCGGACGUCUCACGUCACUAACUUGACGAUUUACCAUCUCUACCACAAAGCAAACAAAACAAAGCUAUAUUUACAUCAAAACUUUGACAAUUGGACGAAAUUGGUGGCUUCGAUGUCCUUGCCACGACGCACCCACCUAACCUUGGGUGCCCCAAAAAGGAUGUAGGAGGCACGCCCUAUCUCCAGCAGACCGGAGUCUAUUCCUGGUGGAUUAGGAUCGGCUCAUCUCCCCGCCCAAGAAACACUCAAGGCCGAUCUCAGACCGUCGCCCAGAUGAAAAGCGGUCAAAGCGGCAACAACCGAAGGGAAAUUUUUAGACGCUUAAUACUACAAGUGUCAGGCAAAAAUCGCCGCACGGCACUAAAUUGGAGGCGUUUGCCAACCGGGUCGCCUAAUCCUGAGGAGCUCCAAGGGAAAAGAAGGGACGUGCUGAAAAUGUAGUUGGACGCGCGGCCAGGGUCCGGAAUUGAGCCACUUAUUUUAGAUUAGAUUUCACAGUGAGUAAUUGACAAUCUGGACUAGGUGAUAUUACAAAAACAAUGACUAAAGCUUAUUUAUUGCAGAGUUCCUCGACGGAUGUGGUUGAAACUGCAGCCAGAAUGGAAAAAUCGCUAGCGGCGAAAACCAGCGCGAGUCGGAGCCAAUUGGUCCGGAGGAUAGCGCAGCGUCCGCGUAAGAGGGGCCGGAGGCAGUGCGUCGGUGGACUUGGAGAUGACCACGUGGCUAGCGCGGGCAUUCGUUCCCGGAACGGACUCACCGAGGGAAUCUCCGUAUCUGGCCGUCUCGGAGGCAGUCGCUGUAGCUGCUGGCGCUGGAGGCUGCUGCUGCGGCAGAUGCUGCGGCUGAUGCUGCUGCGGCUGAUGCUGCUGCGGCUGAUGCUGCUGCGGCUGAUGCUGCUGCGGCUGAUGCUGCUGCGGCCAAUGCUGCUGCGGCUAGUGCUGCUGCGGCUAAUGCUGCGGCGGCUAAUGCUGGGGCGGCUAAUGCUGCGGCGGCUAGUGGACGACGACCAGGUUAGGUCCGCCUGGUAAGUGUUCACUUCCCAAAUCUUUUAAAUUUCCGGGGCCCUCUAGAUAGGGUCCCCGGUGGCUUUAAUAUUUACAAAAAACACUGUUAUUCAUAAGUUUAUUGCAAAUAAAUAACCACUCACUUUUAUUUAUCUAAACACUAAUAAUGCACAUAUGAACUUAUUUUUCCACGACUGUUCUCCUACGACUUAUUGCAGCAACUAAAGCAAAACCCUGACCUACACCAAAGUCGUUCGCCAUUUUCCCUCCCGCUCUCUCAAGAUGGGUCAGCGAACGUAUUCAAGGCUAUUUAACCCAGUUAACGAGCGAACCGGGCUAAAUUUAAAUAGCUAAAUCCUCUCCCGCUAUCAAUAACGGCUUCAACUGAAAAUGCAACACCACCCUGGAUUCCGAGAGACGCCAACACAAAGUUUUAGACAAGCGCAGGAAUACUUGGGAGCAUUUGGAUUUGGACUAUUCGAAUUCAGCCGGCCUCGAUACCAAGAUGCAGUUCCAACGGUGUCCAACGCGGGGCCCA